UGAAUCACAAGCCUUUAAUGGCGGAUUUGAAACCUAUUUUCACUGUUAUACGAAUUUGGGACUGAUAUUUUGUCUUUGAAAGGAAUUAUGGGCUGGAGGGGCUGAUUUGGGGAAGAUUCUCGAGCAGGUGUAGCAGCUAUGCUGCGGUGGCUAUGGCUGCUAAGCCAUUCUCAUUUGGUGAGGGUGGAAAGGAGGAAGAAGAAGAGAGAUAAAGGAAAGAUAGAGGUUUG
rnacentral:lncRNA from 1 species